rnacentral:rRNA from 1 species
AUUGAACGCUGGCGGCAUGCCUUACACAUGCAAGUCGAACGGCAGCACGGGUGCUUGCACCUGGUGGCGAGUGGCGAACGGGUGAGUAAUACAUCGGAACAUGUCCUGUAGUGGGGGAUAGCCCGGCGAAAGCCGGAUUAAUACCGCAUACGAUCCACGGAUGAAAGCGGGGGACCUUCGGGCCUCGCGCUAUAGGGUUGGCCGAUGGCUGAUUAGCUAGUUGGUGGGGUAAAGGCCUACCAAGGCGACGAUCAGUAGCUGGUCUGAGAGGACGACCAGCCACACUGGGACUGAGACACGGCCCAGACUCCUACGGGAGGCAGCAGUGGGGAAUUUUGGACAAUGGGGGAAAGCGUGAUCCAGCAAUGCCGCGUGUGUGAAGAAGGACUUCGGGUUGUAAAGCACUUUUGUCCGGAAAGAAAUCCUUGACUCUAAUACAGUCGGGGGAUGACGGUACCGGAAGAAUAAGCACCGGCUAACUACGUG